rnacentral:tRNA from 1 species
AACACCAGGCUCAGUGGUUCAAAGCGUUCGCCGAGGAGCCAGAGGGUCCUGGGUUCGAUCCCCGAUGGGGUCG